GUAAAUAAUAGGAAAUGCAGCACAUCAAGAAUCUGAUAGUGUCUUUGCGCAAGAUAGCUAAAUAAUCAGGGGCAUUAUUGCAUACUAUCCAACAACUGACCAAGACCCAAUUCUGGGUAACAUCUGAACACGUGCAGAACGAAGAGACGGGCACUGAGCUAUAUAUGAACCGCGACAGGCCGCGUAGCCUCGGCAGAAUAUACCUCUAGCCAUUGCUCUGUACCGGUCGAGAAUCUUGACACUAUUUGGACGACUGGCUAGGACGCGCUCCCGUGCCAUCUUCAGUUCAAAUAGCUGUAGUUUCCUCCGCAAUGCCCUGUUUUCUUUCUGGGUUUGAGUUAUUUCCAAACGAAACACUGCAUAGUCGUCGUCUACGAGUUUACAGAUCUCUGCCACGGCUGCAUUCGCUAGCACCUCCAUAAUGGAGGCUAUUUGAGUGUGAAAAACCAUACCGUCAGCCAUUGUUAGCUAACGUUAGCAGCUAGCAUGAACUAGUUAUCACCAAUUCCUGUCUCCAACGUGUAUUAAAGACUACAUAGGCCAGCUCGGUGAUGUUGUCCCCUCGAUCCUUGGCUGCGCCGGUCUGGGAAUCCAAGAUGGCCGCCCAGUCUCCUCUUUUAAUCUCCAGCCAACCACCUGAAGGAAGAGGUCAAUGCUCUCUGGUACGUCUUCUAUGGUCUCCUCUUUGACCAGCAGCAGAUCAGGCUUCCCAUCCUCCAUGUCUACUGACUGUAAGAGAUACAGAGUGAGAGGAUGUUGGAUCAAGAAAUCUGAUAUGAGCACCCUGCUAUGGAGCAUCUUCUGGUUGGGCAAUGAGAGUUUGCUAUGAGCACUAUACAAACAUGUUAGGUGAUUGGAUACUAUGCAAACAUGUUAGUUGAGUUUAAUACUUGAUAGUCUUUAAUGGUUUAAUAAAUGAAAACAUGGUCCCACACUUCAGACAAAAUUAAUCAAGACCACGGCCCGCAUCCACAAAGUGUCUCAGAGUAAAAGUUAUCCUACUCUUAUGGGUAAAAAUUAAAGCUAUGCUUGAAGAAUCUUUAGUCAUAAGAGUCCUACCUAGUCUACAGAUAUUUAGGAGAACUCAUGAGCUGUUCUAACUAGUUGAGUUACCAGCAAGUGUCUAGAUAAUAGAAAAGGGCAGCGAGUCAGUGGUUCCCCUACCAUAGGCAAUUAUUUUGGAGUUGUUGAAAGAAUGUGUUGAUAUUUUUAUAUGAUCAAUCCAUAAAUAAUCUAGACCUACCUGCAACAGUAUCUCUUGCGCUUUUGACAAUAAUUUCACAUGAUAUGCCUAAAUUGUUUUAACCACUAGGCUAAUAAAUAAUCCCAAUUUUCUUUUGAUUAUUUCAAUAACCUACAUUGUUAUUUCAUGUUAUCCCUUUGGGGCGCAACAUCAUCUUGAUAGACAUUCAGUCGACCUUUAAAAAAAUAAGACUUAAAUUGGGUAUGCCUUUAGGUUUGGAGACAAUGUUGCACAAAAUGUUUGAAAGGUCUAUAAUUUUCACAUGAUAAGGCCUACGUUAACUUUGAUUAUGUUUGACGAAAAGGAUAGACUAUUCAAACGUUUUAUGCAACAUUAUCGGCAAGUGAGUUGAUGCCUACUGUGCCAAAGCGAUUUAGAGUUGUUAAACGGUAGUGACGAGUGUGUUGAUAUAACGGUAAUAGACUAUUAACAUAAUUCCUCUUUUAACAACCAUCAGAAUUGGUUAAAAAAAAGGUUAUGCAUGCCAAAAUAUUAGGCAAGAAUUAAGUUUAGGCAAAGUAAUUGUAUUAGGUGAAAAUUAUAUUAAACAUUUUCCCAUUGCAACAUUU